CCUACGGGGGGCUGCAGUGGGGAAUAUUGGACAAUGGGGGCAACCCUGAUCCAGCCAUGCCGCGUGUGUGAAGAAGGCCCUCGGGUUGUAAAGCACUUUCAGUGAGGAAGAACGCCUGGUGGUUAAUACCCAUCAGGAAAGACAUCACUCACAGAAGAAGCACCGGCUAACUCCGUGCCAGCAGCCGCGGUAAUACGGAGGGUGCGAGCGUUAAUCGGAAUUACUGGGCGUAAAGCGCGCGUAGGUGGCUUGAUAAGCCGGUUGUGAAAGCCCCGGGCUCAACCUGGGAACGGCAUCCGGAACUGUCAAGCUAGAGUGCAGGAGAGGAAGGUAGAAUUCCCGGUGUAGAGGUGAAAUGCGUAGAGAUCGGGAGGAAUACCAGUGGCGAAGGCGGCCUUCUGGACUGACACUGACACUGAGGUGCGAAAGCGUGGGUAGCAAACAGGAUUAGAUACCCGUGUAGUC
rnacentral:rRNA from 1 species